UACCAGCACCCCGAGUGGUCGGGACGUUUAUUGGGCCUAAAGCAUCCGUAGCCGGUUCUACAAGUCUUCCGUUUAAAAUCCAGCUGCUUAACAGAUGGGCUGCGGAAGAUACUAUGGAGCUAGGAGGCGGGAGAGGCAAGCGGUACUCGAUGGGUAGGGGUAAAAUCCGUUGAUCCAUUGAAGACCACCAGUGGCGAAGGCGGCUUGCCAGAACGCGCUCGACGGUGAGGGAUGAAAGCUGGGGGGAGCAAACCGGAUUAGAUU
rnacentral:rRNA from 1 species